ACUCCAGCCUGGGCAACAGAGCAAGACUCCAUCUCAAACACACAAACAAAAAAAAAAACCACAUUAAGUGCUUAGCAUAAUAUCUGGUAUAUUCUAUACCAAAUACUCUGAGAAGAAUCACAGAAUAGGGACAUGUCAAUCAGACCACUGAAUUAGAGGUAGCUUCCUGGAGGAAAUAUUACUUUAAUAAAUUCUGGAGGAUAAAUAAAAAUUGGAGUAAGAUGAAGGAAGUGGAAAAGUUAUUGAGAUAAGGAAUGUUAGGUAUUAAAGCAAGGUAAGAAAUAUUAAGAUAAGAAGGCAGUGGACGCCAUGUUAUCAGGGUGUUAGAAUGGAGUGAGGAGCUAGAGAAACAGAUUAUGCCAUGAUGUGUGGGCCUAUGUGUCACAUGUUUUGUGUUUAUCACAGGGUCUGUAGCAGUAUCUUGCACAGUGUUGUGUAUAUGAAUGAAUUCGUGAGUAAAUGCGUAAAUGAAAAUACAUCUUAGGUUCCUAGAGCUCUGGAAGUGGGGAGUGGAGAAAACCUUUGCUACUGAGCCACCUACAUUUUCAUCAUAAAAAGGCAGAUACUACAAAGAUACUGGAGUGAAACCAGCAUCUUUAAUCUCUAAGAGUGAAACCUAGAAACUAGCAACAAUGGAAAGUUGUCACAAGCAUUAGACUGAAGUGACAAAGAGGAGAGAUGGUGUCUGUUGCCUGGUGAAAGCUAGAGUGAGAAGGAAGAGGUGUAGCCACAAGGGGUCUGGAGGGGCACACAGUUGCUGCCAAAGAUGCUUCCCUGAAGCAGGGAAGGAAAAGGAAGCCAUGCCUCCACUUCCCACUUUUCCAGCCCACCAAUCUCCUGCUGAUGUCUUCUGUUGUGGAAGUCAGCCCUCAAAGCAGUUCCAGCAGGUUUCUCUCUGGGAUUUAACUCCAUGUGACUUCUUAUUGUCUGAGGCAAUCCAGAGGUGUUCAGCUUUGGUUCAAAAGUGGGCAGAGAUGGGCCCAUGUGAGACAAUGGAUGGGGCCAAUCUAACUGCUUGAAACUGGGAAUAAGUCAGUCAGAGUUCUGGAAGCUGAGAAGUCUAAGAUCAAGGUGCUGGCUGAUUUGAUUCCUGGUGUGGGUCCUUUUCCUGGCUUGUAAACAGACAUCUUCUGGAUGUGUCCUCUCCUGUCCUCCUCCAUGGGCUGGUAGCUCGGAGGCUGGGCUGGAUUGUUGAUACAGUCUACCUACCAGUCCUCACCCUGCAGGUCCUCAUGUAUUAGUUCAUUUUCACACUGCUAUAAAGAAAUACCCAAGACUGGGUAAUUUAUAAAGGAAAGAGCUUUAAUUGACUCACAGUUUCUCAUGGCUGGGGAGGCCUCAGAAAACCGACAAUCAUGGCGGCAGGCGAGAGACACCGAGCAAGAGCAGGGAAAACUGCCUUACAAAACCAUCAGCUCUCGUGAGAACUCACUCACCAUUAUGAGACCAGCGUGGAGGAAACCGCCCCCAUGAUCCAAUCAUCACCUCCCACCUGGUUCCUCCGUCGACACGUGGGGAUUAUGGGGAUUACAAUUCGAGA
rnacentral:lncRNA from 1 species